AUGACAAUUAAAAGGGGCAAGCUAGGGAGAGCUAGGAGAAUUCCAUAUGAUAUUAUAUAUGGUGAUGAGAUUGCACAAUACAACUUGCCGUGGGACUAUGCAAAUGAGCUGAGGAGAUCUAAUCCUGGUACUACUUUCUUUGUUGAACUUUCAGAUGAGGGGCAAUUUCAAAAAUAUUACUUCUCAUUUGAUGCAUGCAAAAGGGGGUUCUUAUUAGCUUGUAGGCCCAUUAUUUUCCUAGAUGGCUGCCACUUGAAGACACAAUAUGGAGGUGUGCUUUUAAGUGCUAUAGGAAUGGAUCCUAAUGAUUGGAUAUUUCCUGUGGCUCAUGUAGUAGUGCAAAGUGAAGAUACAAAAGCAUGGAGAUGGUUCUUGAUUGCUUUGAAGCAAGAUCUUGGCAUAAAUAACACAGAUCUCUGGACCAUCAUGUCUGACAAGCAAAAAUCAAGGAAUUGUUCCCUCUCUCACCACAUAGAUUUUGUGUGA
rnacentral:rRNA from 1 species